GAUGAACGCUGGCGGCGUGCCUAAUACAUGCAAGUCGAGCGAACAGACGAGGAGCUUGCUCCUCUGACGUUAGCGGCGGACGGGUGAGUAACACGUGGAUAACCUACCUAUAAGACUGGGAUAACUUCGGGAAACCGGAGCUAAUACCGGAUAAUAUAUUGAACCGCAUGGUUCAAUAGUGAAAGACGGUUUUGCUGUCACUUAUAGAUGGAUCCGCGCCGCAUUAGCUAGUUGGUAAGGUAACGGCUUACCAAGGCAACGAUGCGUAGCCGACCUGAGAGGGUGAUCGGCCACACUGGAACGGAGACACGGUCCAGACUCCUACGGGAGGCAGAAGUAGGGAAUCUUCCGCAAGGGGCGAAAGCCUGACGGAGCAAGGCCGCGGGAGUGAUGAAGGUCUUCGGAUCGUAAAACUCUGUUAUUAGGGAAGAACAAAUGUGUAAGUAACUAUGCACGUCUUGACGGUACCUAAUCAGAAAGCCACGGCUAACUACGUG
rnacentral:rRNA from 1 species